GGAAAGGACAUGCCAGGAAUGCAGAGCUUCCUCCAUUCCUGGAACUCACUCCCACGGCACACACCACCACUUUGCUCCAAAAGCCAGGCCCUCCCACGCACAUUCUAGGCAGGGGGUGUGGACACCCGCCAUCAGGGACAGAUGACCACGAGGCUGAACUGACAGGUCAGCGCAGGGCCCGAAUUCCCAGACGAAGAGGACGCUUCCUGAAGAUGACGCCUGCUCCUGGCCCACAUGCUCCUUGCACCUGGAGGCCUAUGUGCCGUGGAGGAGAUGCUGUGUCCCCCUGAAGAAUCCUGGCAACAGAAACCAGCACAUAAAACCUGGCCCAAAGAUGCCAACCCACAUGUAUUCUCUUAUUACACUGGAAAUCCUUUAGAGAUCCUUUACCCACUUCCCCUGCAGAAUCUCUCAUAGAGGCGCUUGCUCUGACCCACAGAACCCAGUCCUCACUCCGGACUCUCCCCCAGCAGGCUCCAUCCGUGCCUGUCAGUAGGCCUCUCACUAUGCUGUCCUCACCCUCGGGACAGAUGGACACCAGGGUCGCCCCACCCAGCCUGAGGACCCCCAAGUGCCUCCCAGUCAUCAUGUGCUGCCUUCCUUGAUACCAUGUGAUAAAAAUAUUUUUUCACGAAUAGGUGGUACACGGAGCAUUUUUAGAGCAGUUGAAAUACUGCAUAUGAUACUACAUUGGUGAUACACGUUGUCCAAACCCACAGGAUGCACAACACCAAGAGUGAACCUUAAUGAAGACCAUGGACUUUGGGUGAUGAUGACAUGUCACUGCAGGGUCAUGAGUUACAAUAACUCUGAUAAGGGAUAUGUUGAUGGUGGGGGAGAUCGCAUAUGUGAGGACAAGGGGUAAAUGGGAAAUCUCUACCUUCCUAACAAUU